UACGGAGGGUGCAAGCGUUAACCGGAAUCACUGGGUUUAAAGGGUGCGUAGGCGGCUUUGUAAGUCAGGGGUGAAAGCCCGCAGCUUAACUGCGGAACUGCCUUUGAUACUGCAGAUCUUGAAAGAGGUUGAGGUCAGCGGAACGUGACAUGUAGCGGUGAAAUGCAUAGAUAUGUCACAGAACACCAAUUGCGAUGGCAGCUGGCUGGGCCUUCUUUGACCCUGAGGUACCAAAGCGUGGGGCGCGAACAGG
rnacentral:rRNA from 1 species